ensembl:misc_RNA Metazoa_SRP Metazoan signal recognition particle RNA
GCUGGGCAUGGUGGCACGCACCUGUAGUCCCAGCUACUCAGGAAGCUGAGAAGGGAGGAUCACUUGAGCCCAGGAGUUCUGGGCUAUCGUGCGCUGUGCUGAUUGGGGUGUCCACACUAAGUUUGGCAUCGAUAUGGUGACCUCCAAGAAGCAGGGGACCACCAGGUUGCCUAGGGAGGGGUGAACCAGCCCAGGUUGGACAGAGCAGGUAAAAACUCCUGUGCUCAUCAGUAGUGAGAUCAUACCUGUGACUAGCCACCUCACCCCAGCCUGGGCAAUGAAGAGAGACCCUGUCUCU